CGCCUAUUGAUUGUCACAAUAAGUUCAAUGACUCGAGCUUCUUUUCUUGCGCUGUUCUCCCACUUCAUGAUUCAACUACAUCGUUCUGGGCUCUGCAAGUUUGCUUUCCUGAAGAUAGUCUUCUUCAAAAAAGCCAGGUCUGCCUGGUUGGUCACGCCGAAAAGAACAGCUGGUAGGCAACACAUCACAGUGGUCAGGUGACCCUUUGGAAGAAGACUGGAGAUGACAGUCGAAACAUGUCAGAUAAAGGAAGUCCAGCUGAGUCUACACCGAGGGCUUGUUUGCUCGCCACGUGCUUGAGACGGUGCCGAGUCUGCAACCGGAUGUGACGUCAUCAAAUGUAUCUGUGGGGGGAGGUAUAGUCAGUGCUGCUUGCAGGAGGAAUAGUCACCGCCGCUGUCCAUGGUACUGAGGACGAGCGCCAUCGGGCAGGGGCGGGGUAUGUGCUGGCGGCGAGACACAGCUGGCAGGUGAUUAGAUUUCCCAGGUGGUACGUGUUAAUCUAAUUGAUAAUAAUUGAUAAUCUAGUUGAUAAAACAUAUGAGCAUUAAAACUUUGUUAA